GUACAGGAGACUUGGCAGCUUACUCUUCAGUUUUUCCCUGGUAUGCAGGGUGCAUGAGAGGCCUCUGUAAACAAUGGCUGCUAGGCUCUGGAUUAUGAAUUCGGGCCCAGUUAACCAGGAGGAGUCCUUUCUGGCAGUUCUAAUCUGUAGAAGGAAAGCUCAGACCAGGCUUUUCUUACACUCUUCCAGCUCUAUCAAGCAGUUCUGGAAGUCCUCUUUCGUGAGUGUCUUUACUUCAUCCUCCAUCAUGACA